UUAAAAAUAUUUGCUAUCUAUCCUUUACAGAAAAUUUGCCAAACCCUAGUCCUGACUAUUCAACUAACUGGUUGACGUUAUUUGAGAUUAUGUAUAGUAUCAUAGAGUGAGUCUGAGAUCUUGACUUCAUGAUGAUGUUCUUUUAAUUUCAUCUUGCUGGGGACCACUAAGCAGGAAUUUAUUUCCAAGGCAUUCCGUACAAUUGAAAUAAGAAGUCGAGGAUUACUCUGUUUGUGUGAGGUAUGGCUGCUUUAAUCACUUCCAAGCUCCAGAUUUUCCUACCAAAUCCAAGGUAGUCUCAAUACCAUUUUUAUGGACUUAUUUUUAGCUUGACACUUCCAUGUGGAUGGAGUUUUAGAUAUAAAUACUAAAAAAUAUGUUUAUAAAGAUAUUUAUUGAAAUGAGAAAUAUUUUUAGUGUAAUGCUGACAGAAAGAGCUCUGUAUACAUUGUAAUCUCAGCUUUCCCCGCAUGAUGUAUUUAAGUGGAGAUGUGUGUGUUAGCUUACUUACUCCUAGACAAGUAUAAUUGGAGAAGCAUGUGCUUAAAUACUGUUAAUGCUCUCUGGGUGGAGGGGUCCUGUGUGAUUGAUACUGUCUGCCUUAAAACUUUUUGUAUUGUUCAUUCUUUUGAAAGCAUGUAGAAACAAUUUUCCAAAAAUAAGUAUCAGUGUGUACUUUCUUGUGACACUUUGUGAUAUUGUUUCAAAGAUUUGAGAAGAAAUGGCUGCCUUGAGAGAACAGAUGUAUCUUGGUCCCAGAAUUCUUUCUCUCUGAGUCUAGAAUUUUCCUUUCAUUUUUUUGUCUGCCUGCAUUUUUCUGUUUCUUUAUUUGCAGUGACAUUAAGAGAGAGUAUAAAAGGCCCUGGGCCUUUUAUUUAACAUGUUUACAGAUAUAUCUCUACUUAUAGCUUAUUAGUAUUGAAUGAAAACUUGACUGGAAACACACCUCUCUGUGUUUUGAACAAAAGAAGAACAGAUGUUAAUCGAUGUUACGUGUUUUAAAUGUCACUGUCAGUGUAUACAUUUGGAUGUAAACUGAAUCCAUGUGGUAACUUCAAAGUAUGUAUGAUAUUAUAUUUAGGGAGACAAAUGGCUUGCGAAUUUUAAAACUUACAAAUGAGUCCUUUGGAGUCAGGAAAGAAAAUAUGUGACAAUCUGUAUUACUUUUCACUGAAAGUUUCCUAUAUAAUAAAGUUUAUUAACUGCACAGAUAAGUUUUUAAACAUUUAUGUUUUGGGGAAAAUGUAGAAUGAAAACCUGCUUGCCAUUCUGGAAAAAGGUUAUGUAUUAAUGCCACUUCCAAAUUCAAAAAGAUCAGUGUCGCAUUAUGUAAACAUCUUUGUAUCAGUUAGAUUGCAAGUGACAGUACAUUUUAUAAGGUCUAAGGAAUCUUACAUAAGAACAAAUAUUUUCCCAAUACAAUCAAAUGCCACUUUGAAUAAAAGGCACAGUAGAGGAGAUGCAAUGGAUAUGUGUAAUGUGUGCUAAAUUUGUGAUUGCCUUAGGCACUACUAAAGCCACACUGAGUAAUUUCACUUGACAGCCAAAAAAGAGGAGUUAAAGAAAUGUGGCAGUUUCACCUCCUCUGUCUGUUCACAAACUCCCAUGGUGACCUCAUUAAUCUUGGGGAGGAGAAUUACUUAAAGACUGGAUGCAUAAUGCCAAAAUGACUGUUUGAAAAAUCAGUAUCCAGUCCAUCUGCCACUGCCACUGGUUUUCUUUAUGCUGGUGUUCCACAGUUUUAUAAAGGAGUGUGCCAAGGUGUGCUGGGUCACAGUUUGGGGAAGAGAAUGCUGAAUGAACACUGGUUGGAGCAGCAACAAAGGUUUCCCUUACUUACUGUGCCCGCCAGCUGUGGGAGCUCAGGCUCAAGUCCUCCUACCUCUUUAUUGCUACUUGCCUUGACUAACGCUGUGUUUUUCAAAUUGGCCAAUUGUUUAGUGACCAAGGAGACUCACUGACUCUAGAUGUGAAUUCAGUAAACAUUUUUUAUGUGACUUACUUUGUGCCAGGCAGUAUUCUGGUCACUCUGGCACACUCUAUCUCAUAUAUUAAUCAUAAUAUUUUAACAAUAAGUUGAUAUUCUUAUUUUAAAAUUAUUAAACCAAGGCACUCUAUUCCAUGCUGUGGGUCUCCUAACUUCAAGGAGAAAUAUGCUGACAUUUAAAAAAAAUUAUAUCACAUAAUGUGACAUAAAGAUGAUGAGGGCAUCAUCUUUUAAUAGAUAUGUAUUAUUGUUAAAAAUGUUAAUUAGGUAUUGAAAAUUGUAACAGGGACAUUUCACCAGUGAAGUGGUGUAAGGGGAGGGAAGUUGGGGCAAUGGAAAUUGGAAUAUAAUGAGCAACAUUAAGCAUGCACAUGUCAAGUCUAGUUCUGGAUCCUGUGGCAGGCCUUACAAGAGAGUCCAUGAGUCAGAGAGGUACAAAUAGAACAAGGAGUUUGCAUUGUUUUGGAUGCAAAGGAGGAGGAAGUGUUCACAUUUUUAGAUGUAGAAGAGAGGUCCAGAAUGAUAAAGACUGAAAACAGCCAUAGGAUUUUAUAGAUGGGAGGUCACUGCUGACCUUACCAGGAGCCCCUUCCAUGAAAUUGGAAGGACAACAGACACGCAGAAUGAGGGAUGAGUAGGAAAUGAGGGAAGAGAGAAGAUUGUUAGUGAAUAGCUUAGUCCUUCCAAAGGUUUUUCUGGGAAGAGGAGUGUGGUUUCUAGAGGAAAGACUUCUGUAAGGAAGAGGUAUUUUUUCAAGUUAAAAAAAAUGGAGCAUCUCUAUUAACUACUGGAGUCUGAAAGAAAAGGAAGAGAAUGGUUUGAGAUAUAGGAAGGGACUUGAAGACCAAUGCCCCAGAAGCAACAUAAAGAUAUGGACCAGGGCACAGAGGGAAUUGAUUGACCUUGAACUGGAUGAGGGACCCCACAGUCCUCACUCUUGAUUAGUAAAUACUUAUAUUGUGAUGUGAAAAGUUAAAGAAAAUCAUAGCUGAUGGCCUUAACUGUCUUGAUGAAGCAGAAAGGCCAGCCAAAUACUGAAAUUGGAAGAAGGGAUGGGGAUUGAGCUAAGGAGUUUUGAGCAAGGGAAUAAAGGCUGAACAGGAUCAUUGAGGAGAAUAGAAAAUGGACAGAAGAAAAGUAUAAAAGAGUGUUGCUGAGACUCCAGCAAAGAUUGGCAAUCAUGAAUUUGUAAUGAUGCCAAAAUUCCUGGUUUGCAUGUCUUUCUCUUGCUGUGUAAAGCAGAAAGGGUGGAUUGUGAAAUUGGACCAGGGUUUAGGAUUUAGGGUUUUGGCGGAAGGACAGUGGUGAAAAGGCACUGAGGGGACUGGAGGACAAGUAAUUUGUAAUUAUAGCAAUCAUGUCCAGGAAGGGCAGGAAAGAAAGUGAAGAUAGGAGACAUCUACUAGGCUGGGAGGAAAUGCAAAAACUUAUGGAUGGCAAGUAUCUUUGAGGGUAAUAUCAGGAUGAGGUAGAAUAAGCAAUAAACUAUACUCCAGAAUCACCCUGAAUGUGGAAGAAUUAUUGGGAGGCCUAGAGAGGUAUACAGUUGAGAAAUAAGCAUUUCAAAAGAUCAGAGGUCUUCAGAUUAAUGAUCCAUGAAUAAUGAUCAUGAUGUUGGAUGGGAAACAACAAGGCCAGAUCACCAGUGCUCUGAUCCUUCAAUGGUGGGAGUAGAUGAAAGAAUAAGGAGUCUUCAUUUGAAACCCUUCAGGGAAAGCAGUCUCAUCAGAGAAGGGCCCGGUUCCAUUAAAGAUAUGAGAUGGAGAAGCAUUCUGUCAAGUUUAGGAAAUAUAUGAAUUAAUGUACCAUGAUCUUAAGGAUCCAGAAGAUACUAUGAGAAUGUUUAUGGACAAAGGCAGCAGUAGAAUCUUGAGGCAGAGAGAACCAGCACAGUGGGGUGAGAAUGAGAGUAUAGAUGACAAAGGGACUUAUAUUCUGGGCAAUAUCCAAGGAUGACAAGUAUGGGAUAGAGGAAUAUUGAGAUUUGCUGGCCUCAGGUUGGUGCAUAAGGCCAAUGGGAAGCCUUGUGGAGCUUCCUUGGAAUUUUGUGAGUUGUGUAAAAGUGAGUCAUGGGAGAGAGCUCUUGGAGUCCAGAGCUUGUGUUUGUAUAAGGAUCCUAAACUUACAUAGUACUUUAUGUCAGUUUUUCUUAUCAUGCUGGGAGCUGGCUUAGAUACAGAUUUAAAGUUAUUUACAUUGCAAUGGUCUUUAAAAAAUGGCUUACAGGGAGACUUUUGGUCAAAAAUAUGUUUGGGGCACUAUGUGUGGGCUUCAUUGAUUACUGCUUUCCAUGCACUGCUGGUUGUCUGUAGGUUCACUUUCUCUAUGAACAGAAGAACCAGCUCUUCUGAAAAACAACAACAACAAAACCAACUUUUAUUUUUAUUUUUUUAAUGAACCUAAGCCAAAAAUGUUUUAGACCUGGAGAAACAUUUAGUAAUUCUUCAGAAAUUUUAUAACACUACUGACUGGUAUGGAGCAGGUAGAAGUUGAACUUAUUUUAUCCUGAUUAUGAAAGUAAGAUAUAUGCAUUGUAAAAUAUAUUAAAAUGUAGAAAAACAAAAAAGAAAAAUUGCAUUAAAUCUCACCAGCUGGAGAUAUCCACUGUUAACAUUUGGAUGCAUAUUAUUCCAUCUUUUUAUGUCUUUGAAUAUGCUUUUUAGCAAAAAUGAUACAUAGCAAGAUAUUUUAUAUUUUCUUGAUUGUCUUACAAACAUGAUUGCAUCAUUAAUACUCUUCUACCACAUGACAUUCAAUAUAGUAUUUCACUGACUUACUGUAUAUUCUUAACCGAUCUCCUCAUGCUGUUCAUCUGGGUUAUUUUCACCUUUUUAGAAUUAUGAAUCAUGCUGGUAUGAAGUUUCUUAAAGAGAAAUUAAUCUUGCACACUUUUAUGAUUACUUAAGAUACAUUCUUAGAAAUGUAAUGACUGGAUCACAGUGUUUUCUCCUCUCUCUUUCAUACACUCACUCUAUCUCUCUAUCUCACUCUCUCUCCCCUUCUCUCUUUUUCUUUUUCUCUUCCUGCCUUCUUGUCUGCUUUUUCUGCUAAAAUUUACACUUGAAACCAAUUUUAUCCUACAAGCUAAGAAUGCAUUUUACAUUUUUAAAUGAUUGAAAAAUUCUGAAGACGAAUGACAUUCUGUGAUAUGUGAAAAUUAUAUGAAAUUUAUAUUUCAGGGUCCAUUAAUACAGUUUGGUGUACAGCCAUGCCAAUUUGUUUAUAUACUGUCCAUGACUGCUUUCACACCACUAUGGAAGUGCUGAGUAGUUGCAACAGAGACUAUAUGACCCACAAUGCCUAAAAUACGUAUUAUUUGGUUCUUUACAGGAAACAAUUGAUGAAUCCUGAUUUAAAUCUGAGAAGUUUACAAAGUUAUCAUAGAUAAUGUGAAUCCUUUAACUUGAUUCCAGAACAAUUUGCUUGUAUGCCAUACACUAGUAUUGUGAAACAGAACCCAGUUUCCUUGUCUGUAGAAUGGGGCAAAUAAUAGUGAUAAUUUCAAAUGGUUUUUGUAAAGGGUGAAUGAAAUACAUUUCAAAUGUUUUAACAGUGCUUGGCUCACAUCUGAUAGAUAAGUAACAUCACUAGAGGGCAUGCAGCUGCUUGCAAAGUGUCCCAUUGGAAAAGUGUGCUAUUAUUCAUUUCAAAGGAAGGAAGCCACAGCUUCCUUCUUUUGGAGAGCCUCAUACUGUAUAUGUUUGACACACAUCUACCUUCUAAAAUGAUUGCAGAGGCUCUUUCAUAUGGCUGGGGCAGGAAUUGUUCUCCCUGAUCAAGUAGCAACUUUGGUUUGCUAUCCUUGGUGGGGACAUCUUAGAUGCUUCUGGUGGUUAAAUGUGAUUGAAUAUAUUUCAGUCUCUCUACAAAGUCACUGUCAGCAGCACAUGGAUUAAAAAUGCACAUGGAACAAACAAUUUCACCAAAGGAAAGAUAAAAACUGGGUUGGAUAAAGAGGCUAUAAAUAAAGAAAGAAAAGGGACUUGACAGAGUAGAGGGAAGCCAAUGGAAGAAAAAAUAUGAGAUGUGAUGACUGCUUUUUAACUUUAAAUAAAUGUAGUAAAAUCAUUUUUACAAUGCCCUAUGUAUUGUGUGCCUAAAAAAUAAUGCAGAAAACAUAGGAUUUUAAGUGCAUUAAUAUAAAUGACUUGAGUACCCCAACGCUGCCACAUAACCAAAAGUUGGAGUUAGUGCCCAUUUUAUGAACUUAAGUCUUUUCUGUGCCUCUUCCCAUAUCCAUCCCUUUUUUCUUUCUCUCUCAUCUUAGAAUAAAAUAGUCCCUCGUUUUCUACAGAGACUUGUCAAUUAGUCCUACUUCCCCGUCCUCCUUUUACUCUUGUCCCAUCCUUACGUGGCAAAUCUCCUACCUUGCUUCAUCAAUUAUCCCUUCCAUUUCACUUACUCCUUAACAAUUCCUCCAAGUGAUAUUUUCUCUAGAAAUUUUGUCAAAGAAUCCUGUUUGGUAUUUGGAGGGACAGAAAUCAAGAAUCUAAUAUGAUAAAAGAGACAAGUCACUGAUGUCUCUUCACAUAUUCAAGUCUCAAUCAUCUAGACUGAUUGAAUUCAAAGUUGAUGUGGUGGCUAUUUAUUUAAGUAUUCAUUUUUAAAGUAUUUACCAUGUAUACCUUGUUCAAAAUAUUUGAAAAUCCAUCUUCAGCCUAUACAUUAUUUAGAUUAUGUUUUCAGUUUCUGAACACACAGGCUGGUAGGUCUCUUUCCAUCUCUUUCCCUUCCUUCCUCUCUCUUGUAAUCAUUUAUUAUUGGAUCUUGGGAUUUUGGAAAGAGCUUCUGUUCUUUAUAAAAGCAUUUCUUUGGGAUUUUUGGGAGUUCCUAUACAGCCAAUAUGUUAUCGUAUUUUCUAAUGUUCUGCAUGUGCUUGAAAGAAAUAUAUAUUCUCUAAUUAUUGGGUGCAGUGUUCUAUAUGGUUUAAUUAGAUCAAGCUUUUAAAUUAUGUAGUUCAAAUCUAUGAUUGUGUUAAAUUUUGCAUGAUUGAUCUGACACUUUUUGACAGAUGUGUAUUAAAACUCUUCUGCUAUAAUUGUGGAUUUAUUAAUUUAUCUUUAUAAGUAUGCCAUUUUUGUUUCACUUAUUUUUAGACUCUAGUGCUACUUUAUUAAUAUAUUUUACAUUUCACCUUUAUGUAAUAAACCUCUUUAUUACUGGUAAAAUUAAUUUAAAAAACUUUAAACAAGUACUUAUCUUUUAGAAAUGUCAUAGGAUUUAGGGAUGGCAGCCCAGAAUUUACGUCCAAAAGCAUAUCUUUUAAUUUUGUUAACUUGUAUAUGUAAUUAACUGUUCAUUGUGGGAAUGUGAAUUAUUAUUGGUUUAUUUAUACAUACAUUUUAAUUAUUUUUGGUUGCUGGCCUCAGUGGAGAACAUCUUAGAUGCUUCUGGUGAUUGAAUGUGGUUGAAUGUAUUUCACUUCCUCUAUAAAGGAAGUGAAAUAUAUUUUACAAUAUAUUUCAUCACCUGGUCAUAAUCACUGCCAUCAUUUCAUCAUAUAGCCUUCCAGUCUUCCUUCUGUACAUUUUUUUCUGGUUGAGGUUAUUAUCCAAUUCAAUAUUUUAUCUUGAUUUGUUUUAACUUUUGUUAUAGCUUAAACAUUUUCUCAUGUCAUUACUGGCUCUGUUUGUACAUCCUACUUCUCCACCCCUAACAACCAAGAGAAUUACAGUGAACAUUGGGAUGCAAUAAAAUAUAGCUAAAAUAGUGAAUAGUACAGAACCAAAUUGGGAAGAACAGAAACUAAAGAAUAUUAUCUGACCAUUAAUCACAUUAUUUGUACCACAGUUUAGAAAUAUGAAUUAUCGAUUUUCUACAAUGGUUGCAGUUCUUGGGGAAAGCUUUAUAGCAAAGGUGGAUUAUUGAUCUCUUCCUUGAUGCUGAGCCAACUCCAUUUAGCAAAGGUACUAGGGCAGGUAUGAACCAGACCCAUAAUACAGAGUGAGUGAUGGAAAGUAGAUUAGGGAGCAGUAAUGCAAUAGGAAGACCUGUCAGCUUCACUCUUGAGAGGGUCAGGGAUAUAAUUUAUCAAGCAAGAUGGGACCAAAUUCUGGAGGACCCAGACUGUCAAAAGAGUUGCUACUCUCUGUGCAAAAGAGAUGCUUCUAUCUGUGUUGCUGCCACAUUGAUAAGCUGGUAGUUUGAGAGGAAGAAAGAAGAAAUUUUAUGUCCCCGUAGGUUAUGGAGUCUCAACUACAAAUUUCUGUCUGUGAAGAAGGGAAGGACGAAGCAGAACUGCUUUAAGAAAGGAAAGUAAAAAACAUUAGGCUGAUUUUGCUGGUGAAUUUGUAAUCCUAAGUUAGCAUAGAUUAUCAUUUUUUAUCCUUCUUAUAAAAGUCUGAGAAAGUAUAAUUAUCCUGAUACUAAAUCGGAAGGAACCAGAUCUCAAGGGGGUUGAGUAAUUUCAUAUGACCAACACCACAAGCUAGAUCUUAGAGCAUCUAGUUUGACAGGUUUUCUGUUACUCUAUACUGCUUCUUCAGGGCUCACUGUGAUAGUAUUUAAUGAUGAUAACAAUGGUUGCCAGCCCUUUUGUUUCACAGAUCUGAGGUAUGUAAUUUAAUUUUCCUGGCAAAAUUCUGCAAUACUAAAUAUCAGAAGGAGAAAAAUUUCCAGAGAAGUCCAGCCUUAUAGUUAUUAUUUUAUUAUUAAGCACUUUUUUUUCUAGAUUGGAUCCUUUUAGGACUUUAUGCACACACACAUACACAUGAACACUCACACACAAACAUAUACACACCAUAUUUAUCUAGGUGUAGAUCUCUUCUUUGUUUUUGCCUGGAAUUUGAGGGACUCAUUUUAUCAAUAUUCUCAGCUUUUUCCUCAGUUCAGAUAAGUUAUCCUCAGUUGUACUUUUAAUAAUUGUUUGUCUUGGAGUUAUUCUGGCUCCUUCAUUGAAAUGCCUAUAAUGGCUAAGUCAGUUCAGUUCUUCAUAUCUAUAUUCCUUUCUCCUUUUCCAUGUUUUAGUUUUUGACUUUUGUACUCUGGAGACCUUCAGAAUGUGAGGAUUUGGUUUAAUUUCUGUAGUGUUAGUUUGGCUUUUUACUUAAUGUGCCUCUCUUGACCUACCUUUCCCUCCAUUUUCCCCAUAUUUCAAUAAAUGGAACCUUCAUCCACCCAAUUGCUUAAGCCAGGAGCUCUCUCUGUCUGAAUUCUUAUAGACAAAUCCUUGCCAAGUCUUUUCUAACAUAUCCAAAGUAUGUGUUGAAUCAUUUUAUUUCACGAACCAAAACAGUGUCUAAGGUAGGGCUGGAACUAAGGUUUUCUGGAACACCCUAGUUUAUAUCCUGGCUCCACCACUUUAUACCUGUGUAUCCAUGGGGAAAUUACUUAACUUCUCUAAGCACUCAUUUUUUUAAUAAGACAUGAAGAUAGCUACAUUUCAGAGAGACAUUUAAAAAAUUCUAUGACUUCAUUUAUAUGAAAUGUACAGAUUAGGCAAAUCUAUAGAGACAGCGAAUAGAUUAGUGGUUGCCUAGUGAUAAGAGGGUCUUGGAGGGAAAUAUAGGGAGCAUCGACUGCUAAAGGAUAUGGGGUUUCUUUUUGGAGUAGCGAAACUGUUAUAAAAUUGAUUGUGGUGAUAGUUUGACAACUCUGUGAAGAUACUAAAAGCUAUUUAAUUGUUAACUUUAAAGGGUGAGUUAUGUGGUAUAUGAACUAUAUUUCAAUUAAGCUAUUUAAAAAGUAAAAAAAAAAAGGAAAAA